rnacentral:rRNA from 1 species
CAGCAGCCGCGGUAAUACCGGCGGCCCGAGUGGCGGCCACUAUUAUUGGGCCUAAAGCGUCCGUAGCCGGGCUGGUAAGUCCCCCGGGAAAUCUGGCGGCUUAACCGUCAGAAUUCCGGGGGAUACUGCCAGCCUAGGGACCGGGAGAGGCCGGGGGUAUUCCCGGGGUAGGGGUGAAAUCCUGUAAUCCCGGGAGGACCACCUGUGGCGAAGGCGCCCGGCUGGAACGGGUCCGACGGUGAGGGACGAAGGCCAGGGGAGCGAACCGGAUUAGAUACCCGGGUAGUCUUGGCUGUAAACGAUGCGGACUAGGUGUCGGGCCAGCUACGAGCUGGCCCGGUGCCGGAGGGAAACCGUUAAGUCCGCCGCCUGGGGAGUACGGCCGCAAGGCUGAAACUUAAAGGAAUUGGCGGG